ACCACACACUGACGCUUAAGAUUUUGAUACCCACCACAGAAACCCACAAUCUCUAGGAAACUCACAAGCCACCAAAGGCAAGUUAUUCAAAUCUAAACUGAAAACCCCUCAUCGAUGGAAGCAUGGAACUAGCAAACUCCAGAACUCAUAUCUACAAACACCACCCAAAAGGGGAAGGAGACAAACCCAUUAUUGAGCGGAGGAAGAUGAAGCCCUCCUGCCUUUGAGAGACAGAGGAGGCUGCUAAAGUGCCAGAAAGAAGAGACGAAAAAACCCUAG
rnacentral:misc_RNA from 1 species